rnacentral:lncRNA from 1 species
CCGUUUAGCAAAUCUCUUUCUUCCAGUCAGACCAGCUUUAUUUUAGCUUCGUCUAGCUCAUCAUCGAAAACCUUGUUUCCUGAUCAAGUUGAACCAGUACCUGACCAGAUUGAUUCAUUGGAGAACCCAAAGAAAAGAGAUCCAGAGCAAAUCUCUUUCUUCCAGUCAGACCAGCUUUAUUUUAGCUUCGUCUAGCUCAUCAUCGAAAACCUUGUUUCCUGAUCAAGUUGAACCAGUACCUGACCAGAUUGAUUCAUUGGAGAACCCAAAGAAAAGAGAUCCAGAGCAAAUCUCUUUCUUCCAGUCAGACCAGCUUUAUUUUAGCUUCGUCUAGCUCAUCAUCGAAAACCUUGUUUCCUGAUCAAGUUGAACCAGUACCUGACCAGAUUGAUUCAUUGGAGAACCCAAAGAAAAGAGAUCCAGAGCCUUGUUUGGACGAACAGAUGUCUGGAAAAGAAUCAGUUAUCGAUGAUACUGAGGAAUGUGUAGAUGAGGAAUGGGAAAUUUUUUGAUCAUCGUGACAUUUACAUGUUAGUAUAUAUACUUGUUAAUGACAGACUUGAUGUCCAUGCCACCUUUGCCUCGGGAUUGGUUCUUGCUUCCAGAGUUUUGUU